UUCGAAGGCCAAUAUUUUGCAGAAAGAAGGCAGAUUCACUUGAAAUUUAGCUUUUAAUAAAUCAAUUAUUGUGUUUUUUAAUAAAUCCUAACCAUUUGAAUCAGGUAUAUGCGCGUGAAAUAAUAUAUAUUUAUUUAUUUCCAACACCACUAUAUCUGUGCAGUAGAGUUACUCCCCUUUGCGCAGAAUUAUUACAUUGUUGUUACGGUGAAUUCGGGAGCGAUCUUUUGAGCAGUUUUACGGAUAUCGGUACGAUAAACACAGUAUUUGUUUGGAAGGAAGAGAAAUCGUCUCAUCUGGUAUCGAUGCAGAGAACAUGACUGACAAAGAUCGACAGUGAUUAUGAUUGGAGUUCACAAAUACAUGAGCACAGUUACAUUGUGAUAUCGGACUCUGACGAGACACAACCACCUUCACCUUUCGUUAACAGGAAUAUUCCAGUGAAAGACCAGUUGUUCAACAGCCUUUUUUACAAACAAAUUCCUGGUGCUGCCAUUCCUAAUCAACUGACAUAUCAGAAUUCUGGAUAAGAAUUCAGAUUACUGGCUGCAUAUUCAAACGAAUUUUUGGGUCCUUCGUUUGGUGGGGGGUAACGUGUUUCAGACCAGAAUCCUGCCUGACCAUCCAAUUGCAAGGACAUCUAACAUAGCUGAAAUGUAUCUGUAAUGAAUUAUUAAAAGUUUGGAUAAAAAAUGUGUUCUUAAAUCAUUAUUUGAAACAAAUUAUACACCCAGGUUGACUUUUUUGAAAAAAAUGAUAAAUUACAAUUUUUACACAAGGGAUUUUUCAAUGUUUCCGCAUUCACUAACAUUACUUUAGGCAAUGUAAGAUAGACAAACCAUACAUAUUUGGAAAUGGUUUACUAAUAUCUAUCAGAAAAUGUAUAAUUUUACUGGGUUUAUGUCAAUUUUCAAA